AGAGUUUGAUCCUGGCUCAGGAUGAACGCUAGCGACAGGCUUAACACAUGCAAGUCGAGGGGCAGCGGGGGAGUAGCAAUACUCCCGCCGGCGACCGGCGCACGGGUGAGUAACACGUAUGAAACCUGCCCGUAGCAGGGGGAUAAGCGGAAGAAAUUCCGUCUAAUACCGCGUAACAACCCUUGGAGGCAUCUCCUCGGGUUUAAAGGGAGCGAUUCCGGCUACGGAUGGUCAUGCGUCGCAUUAGCUUGUUGGCGGGGUAACGGCCCACCAAGGCGACGAUGCGUAGGGGUUCUGAGAGGAAGGUCCCCCACACUGGUACUGAGACACGGACCAGACUCCUACGGGAGGCAGCAGUGAGGAAUAUUGGUCAAUGGCCGCAGGGCUGAACCAGCCAAGUCGCGUGAGGGAUGACGGUCCUAUGGAUUGUAAACCUCUUUUGUCAGGGAGCAAAGGGCGUCACGUGUGGCGUUUUGCGAGUACCUGAAGAAAAAGCAUCGGCUAACUCCGUGCCAGCAGCCGCGGUAAUACGGAGGAUGCGAGCGUUAUCCGGAUUUAUUGGGUUUAAAGGGUGCGCAGGCGGAAUGUCAAGUCAGCGGUAAAAUUUCGGGGCUCAACCCCGUCGUGCCGUUGAAACUGGUGUUCUUGAGUGAGCGAGAAGUAUGCGGAAUGCGUGGUGUAGCGGUGAAAUGCAUAGAUAUCAGGCAGAACUCCGAUUGCGAAGGCAGCAUACCGGCGCUCAACUGACGCUCAUGCACGAAAGCGUGGGUAUCGAACAGGAUUAGAUACCCUGGUAGUCCACGCAGUAAACGAUGAAUACUAACUGUCCGGGCAGAAUGAUGUCUGGGUGGUACAGCGAAAGCGUUAAGUAUUCCACCUGGGGAGUACGCCGGCAACGGUGAAACUCAAAGGAAUUGACGGGGGCCCGCACAAGCGGAGGAACAUGUGGUUUAAUUCGAUGAUACGCGAGGAACCUUACCCGGGCUCAAACGACGGAUGGAUGUUUCUGAAAGGAGGCAGUCCUACGGGACAUCCGUCGAGGUGCUGCAUGGUUGUCGUCAGCUCGUGCCGUGAGGUGUCGGCUUAAGUGCCAUAACGAGCGCAACCCCCAUCGCCAGUUACCAGCAAGUAAAGUUGGGGACUCUGGCGAGACUGCCGGCGCAAGCUGUGAGGAAGGCGGGGAUGACGUCAAAUCAGCACGGCCCUUACGUCCGGGGCGACACACGUGUUACAAUGGCAGGUACAGAGAGAUGCGAUGUGGCGACGCAGAGCGGAACUUCAAAGCCUGUCUCAGUUCGGAUUGGAGUCUGCAACCCGACCCCAUGAAGCUGGAUUCGCUAGUAAUCGCGCAUCAGCCACGGCACGGUGAAUACGUUCCCGGGCCUUGCACACACCGCCCGUCAAG
rnacentral:rRNA from 1 species